rnacentral:rRNA from 1 species
GGUGAAAUCCUGCAGCUCAACUGUAGAACUGCCUUUGAUACUGUUAGUCUUGAGUUAGUGUGAAGUGGUUGGAAUGUGUGGUGUAGCGGUGAAAUGCAUAGAUAUUACACGGAACACCGAUUGCGAAGGCAGAUCACUAACAAUUUACUGACGCUCAUGGACGAAAGCGUGGGGAGCGAACAGGAUUAGAUACCCUGGUAGUCCACGCCGUAAACGAUGAACACUAGCUGUUGGGGAUAUAAUGUCUCCGUGAAAGACAAAACGAUAAUUGACCCCCCCCGGGGGUACGUUCGCAAGAAUGAAACUCAAACGAAUUGACGG